GUUGAUGAAUUGAAAAUUAUUCCGGACUGUGUAAGUACUUUAUCACUGGAUAAAUAUAAGGACCCAUGAAUGGUAAUAUUUGGACACCACUUUAUGUGACAUGCAAGUUCUCUCAAGUACUUUAGUACUGUGGAAGUGUGAGAUGUUACAUUACUACAAAACAGUAAUUCUGGAAUUAAAAUGAAAUUAUGUCAUAGUAAUUGGACUUUGAUGAACUUUGUUUCAUUUAUACAUUUUAAGAAAGUUUAUGUGUGAGCCACUGCACCCAGCCCCAGUUUAUUUUCAUACUUAUAUAUACUUAUCCCAAGCUCUAGGUAUCUCACCAAAAACUUAUACAUCAUUUACAAAAUAUAUUUUUUUCAGAUUCAUGGUUUUAAAUGGUUAUAAACUAUAACAGAUAUAGAAAAUUCUAAAACUUUAUUGAGUGGCUUUAAAUAAAACCUAAAUAAAUGAAGAGCACAGUGGCUCAAGGAGUGGAAGAUUCAAUAUUGUAAAUGUGUCAAUUUUCUGGAAACUGAUUUAUAGAUCUAAUGUAAUCCCACAUUUAAAAAAAUUAGACAAGCUGAUUCUAAAACAUUUGCCAAGGCCCAAGAAAAGGCAAAACACUUUGAAAAAGAAAAGUUAGGAAAACCUCUGCUAGA
rnacentral:lncRNA from 1 species